UACAGAGGGGGCCAGCGUUAUUCGGAAUUAUUGGGCGUAAAGGGUGCGUAGGCGGCUUUGUAAGUCAGUGGUGAAAUAUGGCAGCUCAACUGUCAGGGUGCCAUUGAUACUGCGGAGCUUGAGUACAGAUGAGGUAGGCGGAAUUGACGGUGUAGCGGUGAAAUGCUUAGAUAUCGUCAAGAACACCGAUAGCGAAGGCAGCUUACUGGGCUGUAACUGACGCUGAGGCACGAAAGUGUGGGGAUCAAACAGG
rnacentral:rRNA from 1 species